GUGCUCGCUUUGGCAGCACAUAUACUAAAAUUGGAAUGAUACAGAGAAGAUUAGCGUGGCCCCUGCACAAGGAUGACAUGAACAUUCAUGAAGCAUUUCUUAUUUUU
rfam:Tupaia chinensis contig199371, whole genome shotgun sequence.